CUGGCUCAGGACAAACGCUGGCGGCGUGCCUAACACAUGCAAGUCGAACGGACAUGGGGAGCUUGCUCCUCAUGUUAGUGGCGAACGGGUGGAGUAACGCGUGAGCAACCUGCCCUUCAGUGGGGGACAACAGCUGGAAACGGCUGCUAAUACCGCAUAACACAUCCGGGAGGCAUCUCCUGGAUGUCAAAGAUUUAUUGCUGAAGGAUGGGCUCGCGUCUGAUUAGUUAGUUGGCAGGGUAACGGCCUACCAAGACGACGAUCAGUAGCCGGUCUGAGAGGAUGAACGGCCACAUUGGGACUGAGAUACGGCCCAGACUCCUACGGGAGGCAGCAGUGGGGAAUAUUGGGCAAUGGGGGAAAAACCCCCUGACCCAGCAACGCCGCGUGAAGGAAGAAGGCUUUCGGGUUGUAAACUUCUUUUAUGAGGGACGAAGGACGUGACGGUACCUCAUGAAUAAGCUACGGCUAACUACGUGCCAGCCGCAGC
rnacentral:rRNA from 1 species